AUUCUGUGGGUGGUGGUGCAUGGCCGUUCUUAGUUGGUGGAGUGAUUUGUCUGCUUAAUUGCGAUAACGAACGAGACCUUAACCUGCUAAAUAGCCCGUACUGCUUUGGCAGUUCGCCGGCUUCUUAGAGGGACUAUCGGCUCAAGCCGAUGGAAGUUUGAGGCAAUAACAGGUCUGUGAUGCCCUUAGAUGUCCUGGGCCGCACGCGCGUUACACUGACAGAGCCAGCGAGUAUUUCCUUGACCGGAAGGUCCGGGUAAUCUUGUUAAACUCUGUCGUGCUGGGGAUAGAGCAUUGCAAUUAUUGCUCUUCAACGAGGAAUCCCUAGUAAGCGCAAGUCAUCAGCUUGCGUUGAUUACGUCCCUGCCCUUUGUACACACCGCCCGUCGCUACUACCGAUUGAAUGGCUCAGUGAGACCUCCGGACUGGCCCAGAG
rnacentral:rRNA from 1 species